rnacentral:rRNA from 1 species
GACGAGUUUGAUCCCUGGGCUCGAGAACGAACGCUGGCGGCAGGCCUAAAACAUGCAAGUUGAACGGUUGUAGCAAUACAACGAGUAGCGGACGGGUGAGUAAUGUAUGGGAACAUGUCCUUUAGUGGGGAAUAGCUUCUGGAAACGGGAGGUAAUACCGCAUAAGACCUGAGGGUGAAAGAUUUUUAUCGCUGAAAGAUGGGCUCGCGUCUGAUUAGCUAGUUGGUGGGGUAAUGGCCUACCAAGGCGACGAUCAGUAGCCGGACUGAGAGGUUGAACGGCCACAUUGGGACUGAGAUACGGCCCAGACUCCUACGGGAGGCAGCAGUGGGGAAUAUUGGGCAAUGGGGGCAACCCUGACCCAGCAACGCCGCGUGAAGGAAGAAGGCUUUCGGGUUGUAAACUUCUUUUACCAGGGACGAAGACGUGACGGUACCUGGAGAAAAAGCCACGGCUAACUACGUG